CGAUCAUACGUGCAUGCCUUUUCAUCUCCGCACGUCUCACUCUCGCCUUCACCCUACCUUUUCAUCUCCGCAAAUCUCCGUUGUGACCUUCCACAAACCCCCUUCACACUCUCAGCUUUACUCUCGACCUCUCGGAAGCCUAGCGGUGGGGGCGACACCUCCAUCGUCGCAGCAGCAGGGACUCUGGUUCUUCCUCCGCUUCCACAAUAUGCCACGUGUUCAUACCCUCGCGCAUCUCCCCCAGGUCGAAUCUGUGAGCCGCUACGCAUCCGAUCUCAACCGCAUGAUUCUUCAGAAUUGACUUUGUUGUAGUCUCCUUUUAUUAUAGUUUGUCAUUUCGGUUCGCUUUUAUUUGACUUGACUGGGAUUUUAGCUUUGUUGCUUAAAUUGAUUUCGUUUUCUUGUAUAUGUUUUUAGGUCUUGAUUGCGGCAAGUAAUGCUACGAAGGAGAAGGCACAGAUUUUGGGCUAUUAAGUUUGGGGAAGUUUGGGGCAUUCCCUGAGGCUGUAAUAAGAACCUACACAAAGCAGCUACUACUUGUACUCGAGUACUUGCACAAAAAUGGAAUCAUGCACAGAGACAUUAAGGGGCCAAUAUUCUUGUAGAUAAUAAAGGAUGCAUAAAACUUGCAGACUUUGGGGCAUCCAAACAAGUUGUUGAGCUGAUAAUCUCAGUCUUAUAUGUAGCUCUACUAUUGUGCAACCAUUUAUGGUGCCAAGUCCAUGAAGGGUACUCCAUAUUGGAUGGCUCCAGAAGUUAUUCUCUAGACUGGGCAUAGCUUCUCUGUUGACAUAUGAAGUGUGGGUUGUACUGUGAUUGAGAUGGCCACUGCGAAGCCUCCCUGGAGUCAGCAAUACCAACAAGAGUAGAUGAAAUAGACCCACAGCAAUCGUGACCGGAAGGUGCAGAGACAAGGAAGCCAUGGCAUGGACAUCACUGGUCCAACAAAAAGUCCAAAGCAAGUGAGAGAGAGUUUCUAAAACUAAUCAGUGUCUUGAAGAUUCUAUCUUUUUGUUUCUUUCUGGUUAGCUUUGCCAUUUGUGCUUAUUUGUUUCAAUGUACAUAAAGUUGAGUUUGGGAAAAUAUGCAGGAAUACAUUGCAAAAUCCCUUAUGGCCAAGGAUCAAUUUUUGGAUUCUUCAGCCAAGAUAAUGUACAUGUUGGGGAUAUCAUCAUCAAAGAUCAAGUGUCUAUUUUGCCCUCUAUUAUUUUUCAGUCAGAAUUGUGAUUGAAUUUUAUAUGCUUCUUUGGUUUCACUGUUAGCUUGUUGCUUCCCAUCCUCAAGGAAUUUGCAGAGAUUACAAGGGAAGGAUCUUUGGCACUUGCAGCACUUCCAUUUGAUGGCAUACUUGGACUUGGAUUCCAUGAUACUUCAAUUGGAAAAGUCACACCAGUGUGGUACACACAAGAACUUCAUUAAUUCAUUUCUAUGUUUAUUGAUGUUUCUUCUUUCCAUUUUAAAUUUGAAUAGAAGUGCAAGAAUAAUGGUGUGAUUGUAUUUUUUUUAUAAUAAGUACUUCCCUUUUUUAUUUCUAGACUUUUUGAAUGUCUAAGAUACAGUUGUUAGUUUUGGGACUACAGGUAUAAUAUUUUUAUUGUCGUUGAUGAAGAAAUACGAAAAAAAAUAAUGAUUCAACAUCGGUUAUUAGGAUGAUCAAUGUUGAAUUAUGAAUAUACUACAUCAGUUAGCUGGAAAACUGAUGUAGAAUGACUGACAUUCUACAUCGGAUAAUUAGACAACCGAUGUUAAAUUAUGAAAUUCUACAUCGGUCCAUGUCAAGGGACCGUAGUAGAAUAGAAACCGAUCUACAUCGGUCCAACCAAGCGACCGUUGUAGAAUUAACGUCAUUCUAUAUCGGUCUUUGUGAUCGUCGUAGAACAUCAACCCCCUUUUUACGUCGUCUUCUACAACAUCGGUCCAUAAUCUAUGUAGAAUGGUUAAUUUAACCGAUGUAAAAUGCGUUUGCUGUAGUAGUGUUGCCUUUGUGGUUCAACACGUCAAUUUGUUUCAAGUCCUACUACAGCUCAUCAUUAAGCAGCUUUUUGCGUUCUUCGAUAUUUGAAAGGCACUCCAGGUUUAGGUGUUUUCUGGUCAGCUGAUAGCUCUUUAUAAAUCAAAGCUUUUAGUGAUUCCGAUUAGGCUAGCUGUGUUGAUUCUCGCCGAUCCAUCACUAGUUUUUCCGUCUAUCUUGGUUCCUCUUUGAUUUCUUGGCGUUCCAAGAAACAUACUACAGUUUCUAGGAGCUCUUCUGAAGCAGAAUAUAGGGCUUUAGCAUCUACGACUUGUGAACUCCAAUGGAUUACUUAUCUUUUGGAGGACCUGGGCGUUCCUUUUGUUCGUCUUGCUCUUUUAUAUUGCAAUAAUCAGUCGGCUUUGCAAAUUGCAUCUAACCAAGUUUUCCACGAACGAACAAAGCAUAUUGAAAUCGAUUGCCAUAUCGUUCGUGACAAGGUGUAUGCUGGUUUUCUCAAGCUUUUACUUGUUGCUUCUUCUCUCCAACUUGCAGAUAUCUAUACAAAAGUCAUGACUCCUACUAUUUUUCAUGGAUUUCGUUCCAAGCUAGGAAUGCUCAAUAUCAAUUCCCAGCUUGAGGGGGGCUCUUAACAGUAAUUAGUUUUUCUGUUAUACUUUCUGUUUUGUUGAGCUGUAUUUUCUAUUAUUCCCUUAGUUGACAUUGUAUAUAUACUUCAUUUUCUGCAAUAAUAACUUCACGCCUCUGUUGAUCA